rnacentral:rRNA from 1 species
GACAGAGGGUGCGAACGUUGUUCGGAAUUACUGGGCGUAAAGCGCGUGUAGGCGGCAACGCAAGUCGGGCGUGAAAUCCCACGGCUCAACCGUGGAAGUGCACUCGAAACUGCGUAGCUAGGGUCCUGGAGAGGAAGGUGGAAUGCUUGGUGUAGAGGUGAAAUUCGUAGAUAUCAAGCGGAACACCGGUGGCGAAGGCGGCCUUCUGGACAGUGACUGACGCUGAGACGCGAAAGCGUGGGGAGCAAACAGG